ensembl:snoRNA
GUCCGUGAUGACGAGAUUUCUUCACUUUGACCUGAGGGCUCCUGAAGAAAUACAGAGUCUGAGG